rnacentral:rRNA from 1 species
AGUGAACGCUGGCGGUAGGCCUAACACAUGCAAGUCGAACGGCAGCACAGUAAGAGCUUGCUCUUACGGGUGGCGAGUGGCGGACGGGUGAGGCAUACAUCGGAAUCUACUUUUUCGUGGGGGAUAACGUAGGGAAACUUACGCUAAUACCUCAUACUACCUACGGGUGAAAGCAGGGGAUCUUCGGACCUUGCGCGAUUGAUUGAGCCGAUGUCGGAUUAGCUAGUUGGCGGGGUAAAGGCCCACCAAGGCGACGAUCCGUAGCUGGUCUGAGAGGAUGAUCAGCCACACUGGAACUGAGACACGGUCCAGACUCCUACGGGAGGCAGCAGUGGGGAAUAUUGGACAAUGGGCGCAAGCCUGAUCCAGCCAUACCGCGUGGGUGAAGAAGGCCUUCGGGUUGUAAAGCCCUUUUGUUGGGAAAGAAAAGCAGCAGGUUAAUACCCCGCUGUUCUGACGGUACCCAAAGAAUAAGCACCGGCUAACUUCGUG